rnacentral:rRNA from 1 species
GUACUUUCCCCCUUUCAGGGGACAGGGCAGUAACAGUGCUGGUGCUGUGGGUUGGUCCGUGGUGUCGUGUCGUGAGAUGUUGGGUUAUGCUCCCGCAAGCGGAGCGCCACCCUUGCUCUCUUUAUGGUCGCCAGCAUUGGGUUGGGCACUCUAGGGAGACUGCCGGUGACAAACCGAAGAAAGGUGGGAAUAACGUCAAAUCAUCAUGCCCCUUUAUGAGUUGGGCUACACACGUGCUACAAGUGGACGGUACAAAGGGCAGCGAAGCCGAGAGUGUUGAGCCAUUUCCCAGAAAGCCGUUCUACAGUGCAUAUUGCAGUCUGAAUCUACGCUUGUAUAAAGUCGAAAUCGCUAAAAACUCGCAUCUCAACAAUAACUGGGGAAAAUACUUCC